rnacentral:rRNA from 1 species
UACGGGGGGGGCAAGCGUUGUUCGGAAUUACUGGGCGUAAAGCGUGCGCAGGCGGUUAUGCAAGACAGAUGUGAAAUCCCCGGGCUCAACCUGGGAACUGCAUUUGUGACUGCAUGGCUAGAGUGCGGCAGAGGGGGAUGGAAUUCCGCGUGUAGCAGUGAAAUGCGUAGAUAUGCGGAGGAACACCGAUGGCGAAGGCAAUCCCCUGGGCCUGCACUGACGCUCAUGCACGAAAGCGUGGGGAGCAAACAGG